UUGAAUUGAAGAGUUUGAUCAUGGCUCAGAUUGAACGCUGGCGGCAGGCUUAACACAUGCAAGUCGAACGGUAGCAGGAGGAAGCUUGCUUUCUUGCUGACGAGUGGCGGACGGGUGAGUAAUGCUUGGGAAUCUGGCUUAUGGAGGGGGAUAACCACGGGAAACUGUGGCUAAUACCGCGUAAUAUCUUAGGAUUAAAGGGUGGGACUUU
rnacentral:rRNA from 1 species